rnacentral:tRNA from 1 species
GGUCAUAUAGUGUAGUGGUCAUCACAUCGGAUUUUGAUUCCGAUAACCCAGGUUCGAGCCCUGGUAUGACCU